UACGUAGGGUCCGAGCGUUGUCCGGAGUUACUGGGCGUAAAGCGCGCGCAGGCGGCUCAACAGGCCUGACGUGAAAGUCCCGUCGGCUUAACCGGGGAGAGUCGUCGGGGACCGUUGAGCUUGAGGGCGGCAGGGGCUGGUGGGAAUCCCUGGUGUAGUGGUGAAAUGCGUAGAUAUCAGGGGAACACCCGUGGCGAAGGCAGGUCUCUGGGCCGCAACUGACGCUGAGGAGCGAAAGCAUGGGGAGCGAACGAGGA
rnacentral:rRNA from 1 species